rnacentral:rRNA from 1 species
GACAGAGGGUGCAAACGUUGUUCGGAAUUACUGGGCGUAAAGCGCGUGUAGGCGGCUAUGUAAGUCGGGCGUGAAAUCCCACGGCUCAACCGUGGAAGUGCACCCGAAACUGCGUAGCUAGAGUCCUGGAGAGGAAGGUGGAAUGCUUGGUGUAGAGGUGAAAUUCGUAGAUAUCAAGCGGAACACCGGUGGCGAAGGCGGCCUUCUGGACAGUGACUGACGCUGAGACGCGAAAGCUAGGGGAGCAAACGGG